rnacentral:snoRNA from 1 species
CAGUUUAUAUGAUGAUUUAAUUUGCGUUCUAGAUCCCAGUUUCCGAAACACGCCUAGUUUCACUAAGGUUCUGGGCACCAUGCGACCACUUUCUAUUCUGAUAGACAU